AUCUGAUUAGCAAUGGAGGGAUGCUUCCCAUGGGAAACAAAGUAGUGGUCAAAAUAUCUGCUAUGGUCCAUUCAGCCUGGGGAUUUGGCUGGCAUGCUCUGAAGAUCUCUCCCGAUAUAGGUGCCGAAGUUUCCCUCUUCGUGCAAAAAAAAAGGUUUCAGACAGUUUGACUCCAGACACCAUACUCGGAACACUGCUGGCCUGCUCCACAUGAUGACUACGUUGACUGUGAAGUGAAUUUGAAAAGUCAGACAGUAUCCUGAAAGCAAAUUCCCUGGAAUCGGUCAAAAUCAGGCAUGUGGGAAGAAGCAAGAUCUCACCCACAUCAUCUACUCAACAUUCCUGUCAGAGAAGCUUGUCACUGAGAAGACCUUCAUAGUGCUGAGCCACCUGCGACAUACUUUAUCCUUACCCAAACUUUGGUGCAAAUCUGAAAACUCACCUUCCAAAUUCAAGAAUAUAUUGUUGUCUAGGGAAAC
rnacentral:lncRNA from 1 species